rnacentral:lncRNA from 1 species
CUCCCACUACAAACCCUAGCCGCCGCUCACCACCCGCCGUUGUGGUCUGCCUGAUGCCCCAUGAGACGCGAGUCCCCGGCGGCCGGCGCGCAGCGAGGCGCACCACGCGCCCCUGACCGAUGAAGUCCGGCGCUCCGAGCCGCGGCCCUGACCAGUGAAGACCGGCGCCCCGCACCGCCAUCCCCGACCCCUUGUUGGUCGCUCCACUGCCCGUGACGCGGCCGUCCGCUGCUAGUGCUCCACCUCCCGACUGCCGGUUCAGUAGUUGCAGUCCUCUUCCAUGUUGUUUGCCUACUUGCCGCCUACUGACCUCUUUCUGUUCUUCACAUUGCAACUAAAGGUAAGCAAGCUGCUCCACCCCUCUAUGAACAUCCUUGAUUCCCAUGAAAAUAAGCACGGCUGCAUGUAUUUUGUAGGCAAUACAUACCCUUGCUUUGUGACAAAUGUUAGCACCUAGAGACAACAAGUUGAACUAUGUACUGUUCAUAACUAGAGGAAGCAAAUGAGCUGCACAUUGCCCUUGCUUUGUGUUCCAUGAAAAAUAGUUGUAGUUGCCCUGGAUAUUAUUUACAUGGAAGCAAAUGUGUUCAAACAUUUAGAUCUUAGCAAAUUAUGGCCUUUUAAACUGUUGAUGCCGGUUGAUCCGAUCUCAAAUAUCCUUCCUAUACUGAAAUUAAUAAUGUAUGCAUGACCUCUUGAUAACAGUAAUGCCCAGCAUAAUAGCCAUCUAAAUAUGAAUGUCUUAUUAUGUUUAUGUGGCUAGUUCUUUUGCUUUUUAUUAAUGUCAAAUUGUAUUACUGCUAUCUGCUCUUUGUGCAUCUAAUAACGAGUAAAUUUCUCUUAUUUUGGAUGUUAUCUGUAGCUGAAUCUGAAUCUGAACAUCAUGAUGAGGAGUUGAAUGAGAGAGAUUAUGCCUAUCUAGAGGCAGAUGCAGAUUCAGGAGCAGCUUCUGUAGUCAUUUGGGUUGUUCUGCAGACAUGGACCCUCUUAUUACUAUAUGAUCUAUGUAUCAACAUUAAAUCGGCCUUGCAAAUGGAAUAUUUGUUUUCUAUUUAUUUCUGCACUUUGGCUUUUGUUCGCGCAUUUUAAAUCCUGAGUAUAUAAUUCCUAUGUACACAAUAGUGCAUCCGUGCUCGUUUCCUGAAACAAGAUAUAUACAUGGUGUAUAUCAUUUGUACAGAACAUGUAUUUGUAAAUCUCUUUGUUAUUUCUAGGCAUUAUUAAGGCAGAUCUCAACAAAAGCACAAGAUUAUGUUCUAUUUUCAUCAUCUUGUAGUAAUCUGGAAAUUUGUUCUAAGUUAUAGCAAUUAAUCUGGUCUAUUUGGUUAGGACCGAAGACCGAACAGUAAAGACCGAAGACCGAAUAGUGAAUAACCGAAAAGACCGAAAUUAUUUCGGUAUUCAAUUAUGGAAGACCGAAUUCUUAGAAGACCGAAAAG